rnacentral:rRNA from 1 species
UACGGAGGGAGCUAGCGUUGUUCGGAAUUACUGGGCGUAAAGCGCGCGUAGGCGGCUUUGUAAGUUAGAGGUGAAAGCCUGGAGCUCAACUUCAGAAUUGCCUUUAAGACUGCAUCGCUUGAAUCCGGGAGAGGUGAGUGGAAUCCCGAGUGUAGAGGUGAAAUUCGUAGAUAUUCGGAAGAACACCAGUGGCGAAGGCGGCUCACUGGACCGGCAUUGACGCUGAGGUGCGAAAGCGUGGGGAGCAAACAGG